GAUGGCCUUGCGGUGCAUUAGCUAGUUGGUGGGGUAACGGCCCACCAAGGCGACGAUGCAUAGCCGACCUGAGAGGGUGAUCGGCCACACUGGGACUGAGACACGGCCCAGACUCCUACGGGAGGCAGCAGUAGGGAAUCUUCCACAAUGGACGAAAGUCUGAUGGAGCAACGCCGCGUGAGUGAUGAAGGUUUUCGGAUCGUAAAACUCUGUUGUAAGGGAAGAACACGUACGAGAGGAAAUGCUCGUACCUUGACGGUACCUUACGAGGAAGCCACGGCUAACUACGUGCCAGCAGCCGCGGUAAUACGUAGGUGGCAAGCGUUGUCCGGAAUUAUUGGGCGUAAAGCGCGCGCAGGCGGCCUUUUAAGUCUGAUGUGAAAGCCCCCGGCUCAACCGGGGAGGGCCAUUGGAAACUGGAAGGCUUGAGUACAGAAGAGAAGAGUGGAAUUCCACGUGUAGCGGUGAAAUGCGUAGAGAUGUGGAGGAACACCAGUGGCGAAGGCGACUCUUUGGUCUGUAACUGACGCUGAGGCGCGAAAGCGUGGGGUGCAAACAGGAUUAGAUACCCUGGUAGUCCACGCC
rnacentral:rRNA from 1 species